AGAAGAUAAGAAGAGAGAAGAGAGAAGAGAGAAGAAGAGAAUACUAUUCACUUUUUGUCAUUCUUCUUCUUCAUUUUCUCUUCUUCUCGCUCUCUUUAUUGUCGCUCCUGAUU
rnacentral:ribozyme from 13 species